rnacentral:misc_RNA from 1 species
UACGGAGGAUGCAAGCGUUAUCCGGAUUUAUUGGGUUUAAAGGGUGCGUAGGCGGUCUAUUAAGUCAGCGGUGAAAGCGUUCCGCUCAACGGGAUCAUUGCCGUUGAUACUGGUAGACUUGAAUUCGGAUGCCGUGGGAGGAAUGAGUAGUGUAGCGGUGAAAUGCAUAGAUAUUACUCAGAACACCGAUUGCGAAGGCAUCUCACGAAUCCGACAUUGACGCUGAGGCACGAAAGUGUGGGGAUCAAACAGG